rnacentral:rRNA from 1 species
AGCAGCCGCGGUAAUUCCAGCUCCAAUAGCGUAUAUUAAAGUUGUCGCAGUUAAAAAGCUCGUAGUUGAAUUUCGGGGUCAGCAGGUUGGUCGUGCCUCUGGUACGCACUGGUUUCGCUGAUUCCUCCUUUCUGAAGAACUGUAAUGUCAUUAAUUUGGUGUUGCAGGGAAACAGGACUGUUACUUUGAAAAAAUUAGAGUGUUUAAAGCAAGCUAACGCUUGAAUACAUUAGCAUGGAAUAAUGAAAUAGGACGUUUGAUCCUAUUUUGUUGGUUUCUAGGAUUGACGUAAUGAUUAAUAGGGAUAGUUGGGGGCAUUAGUAUUCAAUUGUCAGAGGUGAAAUUCUUGGAUUUAUUGAAGACUAACUACUGCGAAAGCAUUUGCCAAGGAUGUUUUCAUUAAUCAAGAACGAAAGUUAGGGGAUCGAAGACGAUCAGAUACCGUCGUAGUCUUAACCAUAAACUAUGCCGACUAGGGAUCGGAUGAAGUUAAUUUUUUAAUGACUCA